CACGAAUCAAACCGGAGUACUUUUUUUUGGGACACCCGGUAGUAUAGUACAGUAUAGUAUAGUAUAGUUUAGCAUAGUAUAAGCAAAAUUUGCGACUUACCACUCACAAAGUUUUGCAGUUUCAUGCAAACGCUUCAAUAUCUCGUCUUUAAUGAUCUCGUUCGCCCUCAUGUCCACUCCUCAUCAGCGACAGGAUCAUCAACCCAAGCAUAGCUGCAUGGGCAUGAUAUAAAGGCAUCAUCAUCGCUUGAAACCAGAUAUAUCGGCUUCUAUUAAAGCCUUCUGUCUCUACAUUUUGUCAUAUUCUGAUAAAUAAUCGUUCACUGAUGCGAACGAAGAAGCCUCUGAAGAUGCACCCGUCGAAGACAUUGCAAAAAGAUAUAAAAAACCGCGAAUUAUUCUUCGAAAUUAAAGCUUCUUUGUAAUGGUAAAUGUAUAGUGUUUACAAGGAGGCUUCGCAUGAGUUCACCAAUUGACGUCACACAUUCCUCUCUCACCAGUCUCCCAAAACUCGGUCGUGGAACAAAUGUGUGCAAACUUUGAGAAGCCAUAGAAUUGCGAGAAUUCAACCGAUUAAAAAAAAUUUUCCAGUUUUGUACUCCAUAAAUAGCGGUUAUUUAUUAUAUGAAAAAAAAAUUUAGGGGGUU